GACUGUCAGGCGCCCAGGUGAAGUGAAGCCUUUUUGGAGUGUGCUAAGGGCUUUGACCAAACCAGAGGUGAAGAAUGUCAUCAGACAUCAUCUGAAGCCUGUAGCAGAGACCUCCCUGCCUUGCUGUAACCUGACCACUUGCUGUUUUCACCAUAUUUUAUGGCUGAUUUUGCUGCUUUUUCCAACAUAGCACAUCGUAAGAAAGAAGCUGAAGUGCAAACAAGGAUCAUUUGGAAUCCAUGACUUACAGAACAAAAUUAGGAAGCAAAUUAUAAUAACGAAUUGCAAAAAGGACAAGUAGUAACAUUGUGAUGCAAAGUUUUAAUGACAGAGGACCCAGAGGUUGAAGAUCCAGGAAAA